rnacentral:rRNA from 1 species
GUUAGGAAUAUUCGUCAAUGGGGGGAACCCUGAACGAGCAAUGCCGCGUGAAGGAAGAAGGUCCUAUGGAUUGUAAACUUCUGUUGUAAGGGAAGAACGACCACAAGAGGAAAUGCUUGUGGAGUGACGGUACCUUUCGAGAAAGCUCCGGCUAACUACGUGCCAGCAGCCGCGGUAAUACGUAGGGAGCGAGCGUUAUCCGGAUUUAUUGGGUGUAAAGCGUGUGUAGGCGGCAUACUAAGUCUGAGGUAUAAGCCCGGGGCUCAACUCCGGAUAGCCUUGGAAACUGGAAUGCUUGAGUACGGUAGAGGCAAGUGGAAUUUCUAGUGUAGCGGUAAAAUGCGUAGAUAUUAGAAGGAACACCAGUGGCGAAGGCGACUUGCUGGGCCGAGACUGACGCUGAGACACGAAAGCGUGGGGAGCAAAUAGGA